rnacentral:rRNA from 1 species
CCUACGGGCGGCAGCAGUGGGGAAUAUUGGACAAUGGGCGAAAGCCUGAUCCAGCCAUGCCGCGUGUGUGAAGAAGGCCUUCGGGUUGUAAAGCACUUUCAGUGGGGAAGAAAGCCUUGGGGCUAAUACCCUCGAGGAAGGACAUCACCCACAGAAGAAGCACCGGCUAACUCCGUGCCAGCAGCCGCGGUAAUACGGAGGGUGCGAGCGUUAAUCGGAAUUACUGGGCGUAAAGCGCGCGUAGGCGGUCUGAUAAGCCGGUUGUGAAAGCCCCGGGCUCAACCUGGGAACGGCAUCCGGAACUGUCAGGCUAGAGUGCAGGAGAGGAAGGUAGAAUUCCCGGUGUAGCGAUGAAAUGCGUAGAGAUCGGGAGGAAUACCAGUGGCGAAGGCGGCCUUCUGGACUGACACUGACGCUGAGGUGCGAAAGCGUGGGUAGCAAACAGGAUUUAGAUACCCUGGUAGUC